rnacentral:rRNA from 1 species
UUUAAACGGCCGCGGUAUCCUAACCGUGCAAAGGUAGCAUAAUCACUUGUUCCUUAAUUAGGGACUUGUAUGAACGGUUAAAUGAGGGCAAAACUGUCUCCUACAGUUAAUCAAUGAACUUGAUCAUACAGUACAAACGCUGUAAUUUACUUAUAAGACGAGAAGACCCUGUGGAGCUUUAAACUUCUACAUUAAAUUAAACUAUAACAUAAUGUAAAAUUUUAAGUUGGGGCGACUGUGGAGUAAAAAAAAACCUCCAUGAAACUCGACUAAUCCUCGUCAUAAAAGGCCAACAAGCCUAACAAAAACGUUUGACCCAAUCAUAUUGAAUACCGAACCAAGUUACCCCAGGGAUAACAGCGCCAUCCCCUUAAAGAGUUCACAUCGCCAAGGGGGUUUACGACCUCGAUGUUGGAUCAAGACUUCCCGGUGGUGUAGCCGCUACCAAAGGUUCGUUUGUUCAACGAAUAAUGUCUUACGUGAU